GCAUAUCAAUAAGCGGAGGAAAAGAAACCAACCGGGAUUGCCCCAGUAACGGCGAAGUGAAGCGGCAAGAGCUCAAAUUUGAAAGCUGGCCCCCCCGGGGUCCGCGUUGUAAUUUGCAGAGGAUGCUUCGGGAGCGGCCCCCGUCUAAGUGCCCUGGAACGGGCCGUCAUAGAGGGUGAGAAUCCCGUCUGGGACGGGGUGCCCGCGCCCGUGUGAAGCUCCUUCGACGAGUCGAGUUGUUUGGGAAUGCAGCUCUAAAUGGGUGGUAAAUUUCAUCUAAAGCUAAAUAUUGGCCGGAGACCGAUAGCGCACAAGUAGAGUGAUCGAAAGAUGAAAAGCACUUUGAAAAGAGAGUUAAACAGCACGUGAAAUUGUUGAAAGGGAAGCGCUUGCGACCAGACUCGCCCGCGGGGUUCAGCCGGCACUCGUGCCCGGUGAACUUCCCCGCGGGCGGGCCAGCGUCGGUUCGGGCGGCCGGUCAAAGGCCCUCGGAAUGUAACGCCCCCCGGGGCGUCUUAUAGCCGAGGGUGCCAUGCGGCCAGCCCGGACCGAGGAACGCGCUCCGGCACGGACGCUGGCGUAAUGGUCGUAAGCGACCCGUCUUGAAACACGGACCAAGGAGUCUAACAUCUACGCGAGUGUUCGGGUGUCAAACCCGUGCGCGCAGUGAAAGCGAACGGAGGUGGGAACCCCCCCGGGGUGCACCAUCGACCGAUCCUGAUGUCUUCGGAUGGAUUUGAGUAGGAGCGUAGCUGUUGGGACCCGAAAGAUGGUGAACUAUGCCUGAAUAGGGCGAAGCCAGAGGAAACUCUGGUGGAGGCUCGCAGCGGUUCUGACGUGCAAAUCGAUCGUCAAAUUUGGGUAUAGGGGCGAAAGACUAAUCGAACCAUCUAGUAGCUGGUUCCUGCCGAAG
rnacentral:rRNA from 1 species